CAGGAAUAACAGGAAAGAGCCUUCAGGAAAGAAGCCGUGAAAGGCUGCCACUGGUUGCUGUCUGGGCAGCAGGCAGUGCUUCCUGAGACUGUCUUCAUGCUAUCAGGACUUACUGAGGAUGUAUUUUCACGGUACCAGCUGGGUUUUUUAGACGGGUAAGCCACCGAAACUUGGCUCACAUUGCAUUUACACACCCUCCCAGAGGUCCUGUUACGUUGACAAUCAAUAAGAACCAUUACAUCUGUCUUCAUUGUCGAGACAUCACAUUCCAAAUCACGGGCUGAAGAAACCUGCCACGGAGAAUUUUCUUCAUUGCCAAGCACCGUACCGGAACCACCUGACUGGGAGCUCUGGUGACUCUCCAAUGGCCAUCCUUCUCGUUCAGUCCCCCAAGUCCCCUGUACAUUUGCACGGUCGCCAAGCAUGGAAGAGCAGGCGGCCAUCUUGAGUGGCCUCCUUUGAGGGGCUGCCAGUCCUAGGUGGUUGUAUUUCUUCACGGGGGUCAGGGUGUCUUGGCUGGUCUCCUGUUUGCAGUUAUUCAUGAUUCUCAGAUUUGGGUCAAGUUCCACCACCACUGAGCUUCACCUCCACUGCCUUCACGCCCAGAGUCUUGGCAAGAGAACGAACGUCUCUCCAUUCUCUCCACCACUCCCAUCCACCCACACCGCACCCAACUCUCUCCAUAAAGGUCUCCAAGGGCCAGGGCUGCCAUCUGCAUCACGUUUCCCCUGGUUUGACUGGUUUUUCCUGCUAAGGCAGCUCAGCUCACUCCUUCAGGAGUGAUGACCCACAGAGACCUGUGGUUAGUAGACAGGACCAAAAAAGGAAAAAAAAAAUCCUUCAAGUUUGCCAGGCAAAUAGUAAAAUAGGUCUUUUCAAGAGAUUCUGAGAACCUAAAAAGUGACUUUGUUGUAAAACCUGUGAUUUUCCUUUCUCCUUUCCAAUGAGUUGCGUUUUUGAACUAUACUUAGUAUUCAGAGCUCAAAGCACUCUCUGUUCUCAGGCUUGAGAGCCAACCCUUCCUCUCAGUUAGGGGCAGGGCUUUUUGAAGAACCCUGCUGUAGUCCUUCAGAUGGCAAGCCGAUUGGACGUACUUGAGCUGACCAUCAGCCCCCCAGAUUCCACUUUCCUUUCUGAGGGAGGAAAAAGGGAAAAACGCCUGACCCGCUUACUCUUAAAAAUAUACAAAAGUUAUUCAUUAAAUUCAGCCUUCUCCAGUUAGGAGCUAGUUGCCCUAGAAGCGAGGUAAGAAGGCAAGGUCGGCUGUAGAACCUAGCCUGUGUUCCAAACACACAGUUUAACCUUCCAGCAGGCUAGCUGGGACAGAUGGCCCUUGGUGUCUGGCAGGUUCUCACUAAUUAACAUGGCGGCUGCUCUAGGAAAGCCAAUAUCAGAGAGUCCAGGGCUUAAUUGUGUUAUCCUGGAUUGCUUCCUCUCUGUUCUGUUGCUUUAAGCACUUGCUAAGAUGAAACCAGAUUCAAGAGGCGGGGAAGUCGAGGCCAUUUGUGUGCACAUGAAGGCUGGCUGCAUUUCCUGAGGUUACCUCUUCAGAUCUACAGCAGGAGACAUGAACCAAAAGGAGUAACGAGAAUGGCCCUGCCCCUAGUUCCAAAUAAAAAAUGGAUAUUUUUUCAUUUUUUUCUUUGAGUCAGGGUCUCAUAUAGCCUAGCUUGGCCUUGAACUUGCUAUUAAACUGUUGAUUUCUCUGCCUCUACCAUCUCAAGUUCUGAGAUUACAGGCAUGUCCUAUCUCACCAGGUUUAUGAAGUAUUGGGAAUUGAACUCAGCACUUCGGUUAUGCAGGACAACUGCUCUAACACCCCCAGUUCCUAUGUAAUAUGUGUGUAUAUACGUGUAUGUGUGUACGUAUAGAUAAAUGUAUGGGUGAUUGAUAGAACAGCAGGAUUUCACUCUGUUAGCCCAUCCUGGCCUUGAACUUUCUAUUUUCCUGCUUCUAUCCGAGUGCCUGAGUUAUAGGCGUGCACCAUUGUACCCAGCUAAACAGGAUAAUGUUAAAUGGCAUGAAGGGGCCUGAGCCGUCCGGUGUAUAGUCAUCAUAGAGGUGUAGAUUUUCACUAUAAACAAACAGCAGAGGUUUCUGUUGGCCAGCAUGACAUGCAAAAUGAAGCAGGGAGAUUUCAUGAGUUAGAGGGUGUGGCUGCAACGGUCAGACAGAGUAAAGGUAAAAUCCAUUUGGCAAGCGUGUGACUCACUGAGAAAAGCUUCAGGGGAGUACUUGACUCUAUCAACAGAGGCCGGUAGACUGCUUGCUGGAAGGGUGUGCCAAAGGAUGGAGAAAACACACCGGUUUCAGAUAUGCACCCCAAGUUAAAAGGUUUCAGAUUCCUGGGUCAGUGGGGAAAGUGCUUGCUGAACGAGCAUGAGGUCCUGAGUUCAGUUCCCAGAACCUAUGGGAAGCUGAACACAGUAACACCCUCUGCAGUCAGUGCUCCUUGGUGAAAAGGAAGAUGGAGACCAGCAUCCCUGGAACUCACAGGCCGGCUAGCCCUACACACACAGCAGCAAAACAGGAGACUGUCUCAAACAAGGUGGAAGGUGAGGACUGACAUCAAAUGUUGACCUCUUACCCACAUGGAGCAUCUGCUGCCCCCC